UUACAACCUGGAAGACAUGUGGCCU
rnacentral:piRNA from 1 species